rnacentral:rRNA from 1 species
ACGAACGCUGGUGGUAUGCUUAACACAUGCAAGUCGAACGGGCAUAGCAAUAUGUCAGUGGCAAACGGGUGAGUAAUGUAUAGGAAUCUACCUAACAGUAAGGAAUAACCUUGGGAAACCAAAGCUAAUGCCAUAUAUUACCGAUUUAUCGGGAAAGAUUUAUCGCUGUUAGAUGAGCCUGUAUCAGAUUAGCUAGUUGGUGGGGUAAUGGCCUACCAAGGCGAUGAUCUGUAGCUGGUCUGAGAGGAUGAUCAGCCACACUGGAACUGCGACACGGUCCAGACUCCUACGGGAGGCAGCAGUGGGGAAUAUUGGACAAUGGGCGCAAGCCUGAUCCAGCAAUACCACGUGAGUGAUGAAGGCCUUCGGGUUGUAAAACUCUUUUAGUGGGGAAGAUAAUGACUGUACCCACAGAAAAAGCACCGGCUAACUUCGU